AAAUUGAAGAGUUUGAUCAUGGCUCAGAUUGAACGCUGGCGGCAGGCCUAACACAUGCAAGUCGAACGGUAACAGAAAGAAGCUUGCUUCUUUGCUGACGAGUGGCGGACGGGUGAGUAAUGUCUGGGAAACUGCCUGAUGGAGGGGGAUAACUACUGGAAACGGUAGCUAAUACCGCAUAACGUCGCAAGACCAAAGAGGGGGACCUUCGGGCCUCUUGCCAUCGGAUGUGCCCAGAUGGGAUUAGCUUGUUGGUGGGGUAACGGCUCACCAAGGCGACGAUCCCUAGCUGGUCUGAGAGGAUGACCAGCCACACUGGAACUGAGACACGGUCCAGACUCCUACGGGAGGCAGCAGUGGGGAAUAUUGCACAAUGGGCGCAAGCCUGAUGCAGCCAUGCCGCGUGUAUGAAGAAGGCCUUCGGGUUGUAAAGUACUUUCAGCGGGGAGGAAGGGAGUAAAGUUAAUACCUUUGCUCAUUGACGUUACCCGCAGAAGAAGCACCGGCUAACUCCGUGCCAGCAGCCGCGGUAAUACGGAGGGUGCAAGCGUUAAUCGGAAUUACUGGGCGUAAAGCGCACGCAGGCGGUUUGUUAAGUCAGAUGUGAAAUCCCCGGGCUCAACCUGGGAACUGCAUCUGAUACUGGCAAGCUUGAGUCUCGUAGAGGGGGGUAGAAUUCCAGGUGUAGCGGUGAAAUGCGUAGAGAUCUGGAGGAAUACCGGUGGCGAAGGCGGCCCCCUGGACGAAGACUGACGCUCAGGUGCGAAAGCGUGGGGAGCAAACAGGAUUAGAUACCCUGGUAGUCCACGCCGUAAACGAUGUCGACUUGGAGGUUGUGCCCUUGAGGCGUGGCUUCCGGAGCUAACGCGUUAAGUCGACCGCCUGGGGAGUACGGCCGCAAGGUUAAAACUCAAAUGAAUUGACGGGGGCCCGCACAAGCGGUGGAGCAUGUGGUUUAAUUCGAUGCAACGCGAAGAACCUUACCUGGUCUUGACAUCCACGGAAGUUUUCAGAGAUGAGAAUGUGCCUUCGGGAACCGUGAGACAGGUGCUGCAUGGCUGUCGUCAGCUCGUGUUGUGAAAUGUUGGGUUAAGUCCCGCAACGAGCGCAACCCUUAUCCUUUGUUGCCAGCGGUCCGGCCGGGAACUCAAAGGAGACUGCCAGUGAUAAACUGGAGGAAGGUGGGGAUGACGUCAAGUCAUCAUGGCCCUUACGACCAGGGCUACACACGUGCUACAAUGGCGCAUACAAAGAGAAGCGACCUCGCGAGAGCAAGCGGACCUCAUAAAGUGCGUCGUAGUCCGGAUUGGAGUCUGCAACUCGACUCCAUGAAGUCGGAAUCGCUAGUAAUCGUGGAUCAGAAUGCCACGGUGAAUACGUUCCCGGGCCUUGUACACACCGCCCGUCACACCAUGGGAGUGGGUUGCAAAAGAAGUAGGUAGCUUAACCUUCGGGAGGGCGCUUACCACUUUGUGAUUCAUGACUGGGGUGAAGUCGUAACAAGGUAACCGUAGGGGAACCUGCGGUUGGAUCACCUCCUUACCUUAAAGAA
rnacentral:rRNA from 1 species